rnacentral:rRNA from 1 species
GAUGAACGCUAGCUACAGGCUUAACACAUGCUAAGGAAGAUGGCGACCGGCGCACGGGUGAGUAACGCGUAUCCAACCUGCCCACCACGUUGGGGAUAACCUUGCGAAAGUAAGACUAAUACCCAAUGAUAUCUCUAGAAGACAUCUGAAAGAGAUUAAAGAUUUAUCGGUGAUGGAUGGGGAUGCGUCUGAUUAGCUUGUUGGCGGGGUAACGGCCCACCAAGGCGACGAUCAGUAGGGGUUCUGAGAGGAAGGUCCCCCACAUUGGAACUGAGACACGGUCCAAACUCCUACGGGAGGCAGCAGUGAGGAAUAUUGGUCAAUGGGCGAGAGCCUGAACCAGCCAAGUAGCGUGCAGGAUGACGGCCCUAUGGGUUGUAAACUGCUUUUAUAAGGGAAUAAAGUGGGUCUCGUGAGACUUUUUGCAUGUACCUUAUGAAUAAGGACCGGCUAAUUCCGUG